CCUKCYCCGCGACMUUGCGAGAAGUCCAYUGGAACCUUAUCAUUUAGAGGAAGGAGAAGUCGUAACAAGGUUUCCGUAGGUGAACCUGCGGAAGGAUCAUUGUCGAAACCUGCAAAGCAGAAUGACCCGCGAACAAGUUUUUACACAAACUCGGCAAUGUGCGGGCCUUGUCCCAAAACAUUGUCGAACAUAACUAUUCAUCGAGCGCGGUAUGCGCCAAGGAAAAUAUAAAGAACAUAACCAACCCUGUUGUGACAUCGGAAACGGUGCUCGCCUCGGGGAUGYGUUUGUUCUCUAAGUCAAAAMGACUCUCGGCAACGGAUAUCUCGGCUCUCGCAUCGAUGAAGAACGUAGCGAAAUGCGAUACGUGGUGUGAAUUGCAGAAUUCCGUGAAUCAUYGAGUUUUUGAACGCAAGUUGCGCCCGAASCCAUUUGGCCGAGGGCACGCCUGCCUGGGCGUCACGCAUCGUUGCCCCCUCCUCAAGCUCAUUGCUCACAAAAUGGACGAUGAUCUUGUUGGGCGGAGGCGGACAUUGGCUUCCCGUUUGCUUGUCUUCCGGUUGGCCUAAAUWUGAAUUCYUUAGCUACGAUCGUCGUGGCGCAUGGUGGUAUUCGCACGAAUCUUAACCUGCCACGCACGUUUGUCARCUUAACGAACGUACAAACCCAARUGUGUUAACCGCUCUUAGAACGGCACUUACAACGCGACCCCAGGUCAGGCGGGAUUACCCGCUGAAUUUAAGCAUAUCMAUAAGCGGAGAAAAAACUU
rnacentral:rRNA from 1 species